UACGUAGGGUGCGAGCGUUAAUCGGAAUUACUGGGCGUAAAGCGUGCGCAGGCGGUUCGUUGUGUCGGCGGUGAAAGCCCCGGGCUUAACCUGGGAAUGGCCGUUGAAACUGGCGAACUGGAGUGUGGCAGAGGGGGGUGGAAUUUCGCGUGUAGCAGUGAAAUGCGUAGAGAUGCGGAGGAACACCGAUGGCGAAGGCAGCCCCCUGGGCUGACACUGACGCUCAGGCACGAAAGCGUGGGGAGCAAACAGG
rnacentral:rRNA from 1 species